rfam:Candidatus Micrarchaeota archaeon CG1_02_60_51 cg1_0.2_scaffold_1190_c, whole genome shotgun sequence.
GGGCUUGUAGCUUAGCUUGGUUGGAGCGUUCGACUGAUAAUCGAAAGGUCGGGAGUUCAAAUCUCCCCAGGCCCA